GCCGAAGUGGUGAAAUUGGUAGACACGCUACCUUGAGGGGGUAGUGGGGAAACCCGUGCUGGUUCGAGUCCAGUCUUCGGUACCA
rnacentral:tRNA from 1 species